AUUAAAGCAGAUGCCAUCGGAGGGAGGAUACCGAAAGGUUUCACUUAUAGAAACAACAGCAGAGCGCGGACCUUCCAACUGCUAACCCUAAGAGCAAACACGGCGCUUGGGCGCCAGCCAUCCCGUUAGGCGAGGCGACGGCUCGGACCAGGCACCCGGCAGCCCCCCACCACCACCGCUUUCGGGCGGCUUUGACGCUGCAGCCACCGCGAAACCUAGGACAUCCUGCUGCAGUUGCACACGACUUGCAAAAUUACACACACGAGGUCUGCCCCGAGCGGCUUUUAGCCAGCUGCAGCGUUUAGUCGUUUGACCCUUAACCGAGCUCCCCAUUGGGACAAGAAUUGACAGAAACCAGCCACACUCAGCCAAAAGGAAACGGCAGCAACAAGCUGGCGCACCUCCCCUGUUGUAAGUGCCACGCGUGCUUCCCGUCCCAUUACCGAGCAUCGGUUGUAUCAGACGCACCACAAUGCCCUGGCGACCGCGGUAUAAAGGUUUCCCCUUCUGCAGUAAAGCCGAGGCACGGAAAGGCUAACUUCACAGCAAGCUGCAAAAACUUUCAUGGAGAGAAAAAUCACAUCUGGUCUCUCAGCCCUGGGGUACAGCCCUGAAACAACUUUCUUCUUUCUAGACCAGGCACCGAGAAGGAAAGACAAGACUGCAGUAAGGAGCACAAUGAAAAAGGAAAACAUUUGGCAUGCUGGAGCUGCACUUGAACGGUGUUUGCAGGCCAUAGCCAAAAGAGGAGAUGAAGCAGAUUGUAACCAAAGAGCACUGUUUCAGGCCAAACCAUCCAUCUAGCCCGCUAAACCCCUCUCCAGCUCUACCGAGUCAUGGGCCUCCUCAUCCACUUCCUCCUGGCCCAAACAGGCAUCCACAGAAAGAUACUUCCCCCAAAUACUGCACAACCCUCCAACUACUUUUAGCUGAGGAGAUUUCCCAAGCACGAUGUGGUUUGUCUGUUUAGUAACUCUCAGUAGCUCACUUCUCCAGUACUUGUCCAAGUAAGCUUUGACUGAACCCACGUAAGCUUCUGACUGUAAAACACUGCUGGCCAGGAGUCCCAUCAAUCUACUACCUGCUGCAUAAAACCUACCCCCUUUUCUUUUAUUGCUUUUGAAUAUCCAGUUAAUAUUCCUUUGUGUAAUAUAAAAUGUAGCUUUCUACAAACACAGUUAGACAGCAACCCAACAGUGACACUGACAUGUAUGGUUUUCUGCAUGCACCAGUGAUCACCUCAUUUGCCUUCUGUUCAUUAAUAUAUGCUUGCCAGGAAAAGACUGUGCCUCUGAGCACCUUCAGAGAGCCACACCGUCAAGUCAAGAUGCCAAGAACGCUCCUUCCCCCAACCCCAAACACACACACUUGAGGAAUCUUCUACAUCAAAUUGGAUGGUCUGUAGGGCAGGCAAUAUUAAUUCUUAGACAAGAGAUUUAAAGUCCAGAAUGCAGAAAAUUCAAAAUGAUAAAACCAAGUCUGUGCAGUAGAGAAGACCUGUUUUCUAGUCAUAAUAGGAAUUUUACAUCUGCUUGAGUUACACUUAACAGAAACCAUUUUCAAGUAUAUUUAAUAUAUUGGAUAUUUAAAUGAUUUUUUUGUUUCUGUGUCCACAAAACCUGCACAGUGGAGUAUACAGUGUGCAUAGUAUCAGUCAUUCUGAAGGACAAUAAAGAAUGCAUAUUCCCAUCAGUAAAAUAAGCAUUCCUAUGAGAAGUUUUCUUUCCGAUUAUUUCAUAUAGGAAUUACUCUAUCAGGACCAGAUGCAGCCCAGCCAGGAAAAGGUGUUGUGCAGCUAUCUUCAUUUCAUAUGCCUGGGAUCACAUACCCCCACCCCCAGCUAUCACGUAUCAGAAGAGGGAGUCAUUCCAGCCUUUAGUUCUACAGUAAAUCCACAUCUGUACAUUCGACGGCUGAAGAUAUGCAACAUGGAAAAACUGGUACCACAGAGUCAGUGGGGCUACUAAUUUCAGUAAAUGCUUUUAUGUGCAAAUAAAUUUUUCAUUAUCUGA